UACGUAGGUGGCAAGCGUUGUCCGGAAUUAUUGGGCGUAAAGCGCGCGCAGGCGGUUUCUUAAGUCUGAUGUGAAAGCCCCCGGCUCAACCGGGGAGGGUCAUUGGAAACUGGGAAACUUGAGUGCAGAAGAGAAGAGUGGAAUUCCACGUGUAGCGGUGAAAUGCGUAGAGAUGUGGAGGAACACCAAUGGCGAAGGCAGCUCGCUGGAACGGAACUGACGCUGAGGCGCGAAAGCGUGGGGAGCGAACAGG
rnacentral:rRNA from 1 species